GGCCCGAUCCUCCCACCCUUUGUGUACCUACCUCUGUUGCUUUGGCGGGCCGCGGUCCUCCGCGGCCGGCCCCCCUCCCCGGGGGGUGGCCAGCGCCCGCCAGAGGACCAUCAAACUCCAGUCAGUAAACGAUGCAGUCUGAAAAACAUUUAAUAAACUAAAACUUUCAACAACGGAUCUCUUGGUUCUGGCAUCGAUGAAGAACGCAGCGAAAUGCGAUAAGUAAUGUGAAUUGCAGAAUUCAGUGAAUCAUCGAAUCUUUGAACGCACAUUGCGCCCUUUGGUAUUCCGAAGGGCAUGCCUGUUCGAGCGUCAUUACAACCCUCAAGCUCUGCUUGGUAUUGGGCACCGUCCUUUGCGGGCGCGCCUCAAAGACCUCGGCGGUGGCGUCUUGCCUCAAGCGUAGUAGAACAUACAUCUCGCUUCGGAGCGCAGGGCGUCGCCCGCCGGACGAACCUUCUGAACUUUUCUCAAGGUUGACCUCGGAUCAGGUAGGGAUACCCGCUGAACUUAAGCAUAU
rnacentral:rRNA from 1 species